CAAAGGUAGCAUAAUCAUUAGGGAUUUAAUUGGAAUCUAGAAUGAAGGGUUGGACGAAGGAAAAACUAUCUUGAGAAUAUAAAUUGAAGUUUACUUUUAAGUGAAAAGGCUUAAAUAUUUCAAAGGGACGAUAAGACCCUAUAAAACUUUAUAAAUAAUUUAAGCUUAGUCAAUAUAAAUAAUAAAAAUUAUACUUAAUUAUUUUAUUUUAUUGGGGUGAUAUGAGUAUAAUUGAAUGUAACUGCUUAAUAAAAAUUCUAUUAUAAGAGAGUUAUAUUGUAAUGGAUCCUUUUUAAAGAUUGAAAGAUUAAGUUACUUUAGGGAUAACAGCGUUAUUUCUUUUGAGAGUUCAUAUCGAAAAAGAAGAUUGCGACCUCGAUGUUGAAUUAAAAUAUCUAUAUAAUGCAGCAGUUAUAAAAGAGGGUCUGUUCGACCUUUAAAUUUUUACAUGAUUUGAGUUCA
rnacentral:rRNA from 1 species